rnacentral:rRNA from 1 species
GUACGGGAGGCAGCAGUGAGGAAUAUUGCACAAUGGAGGAAACUCUGAUGCAGCAACGCCGCGUGGAGGAUGACGCAUUUCGGUGUGUAAACUCCUUUUAAGAGGGAAGAUUAUGACGGUACCUCUUGAAUAAGCACCGGCUAACUCCGUGCCAGCAGCCGCGGUAAUACGGAGGGUGCAAGCGUUACUCGGAAUCACUGGGCGUAAAGGGCGCGUAGGCUGGCUUUUAAGUCAGAUGUGAAAUCCAAUGGCUUAACCAUUGAACUGCAUUUGAAACUGAAAGCCUAGAGUUCGGAAGGGGCAGAUGGAAUUAGUGGUGUAGGGGUAAAAUCCGUAGAUAUCACUAGGAAUAUCAAAAGCGAAGGCGAUCUGCUGGGACGAUACUGACGCUGAGGCGCGAAAGCGUGGGGAGCAAACAGGAUUAGAUACCCUUGUAU